rnacentral:piRNA from 1 species
UACUAAAUGCCAUGUAAUAAAUUUUCACUCA